rnacentral:rRNA from 1 species
UACAGAGGUCCCGAGCGUUGUUCGGAUUCAUUGGGCGUAAAGGGUGCGUAGGCGGCGGGGCAAGUCUGAUGUGAAAUCCCGGGGCUCAACCCUGGAACUGCAUUGGAUACUGCCUUGCUAGAGUACUGGAGAGGAAACUGGAAUUUACGGUGUAGCAGUGAAAUGCGUAGAUAUCAGGAGGAACACCGGUGGCGAAGGCGGGUCUCUGGGCAGUAACUGACGCUGAGGAGCGAAAGCGUGGGGAGCGAACAGG